rnacentral:rRNA from 1 species
GUGCCAGCCGCCGCGGUAAUACAGAGGUCCCAAGCGUUGUUCGGAUUCAUUGGGCGUAAAGGGUGUGUAGGUGGCUCGCUAAGUCGGGUGUGAAAUUUCGGAGCUUAACUCCGAAACUGCAUUCGAUACUGGCGUGCUUGAGGACUGGAGAGGAGACUGGAAUUCAUGGUGUAGCAGUGGAAUGCGUAGAGAUCAUGAGGAAGACCAGUGGCGAAGGCGGGUCUCUGGACAGUUCCUGACACUGAGACACGAAGGCCAGGGGAGCAAACGGGAUUAGAAACCCCUGUAGUCC